rnacentral:rRNA from 1 species
AGAACGAACGCUGGCGGCAUGCCUAACACAUGCAAGUCGAACGAGCUCUUCGGAGCUAGUGGCGCACGGGUGCGUAACGCGUGGGAAUCUGCCCUUGGGUUCGGGAUAACAGUUGGAAACGACUGCUAAUACCGGAUGAUGACUUCGGUCCAAAGAUUUAUCGCCCAGGGAUGAGCCCGCGUCGGAUUAGCUAGUUGGUGGGGUAAAAGCCUACCAAGGCAACGAUCCGUAGCUGGUCUGAGAGGAUGAUCAGCCACACUGGGACUGAGACACGGCCCAGACUCCGUACGGGAGGCAGCAGUGGGGAAUAGUUGGACAAGU